GACGAACGCUGGCGGCGUGCUUAACACAUGCAAGUCGAACGGAAAGGCCCUGCUUUUGUGGGGUGCUCGAGUGGCGAACGGGUGAGUAACACGUGAGUAACCUGCCCUUGACUUUGGGAUAACUUCAGGAAACUGGGGCUAAUACCGGAUAGGAGCUCCUGCUGCAUGGUGGGGGUUGGAAAGUUUCGGCGGUUGGGGAUGGACUCGCGGCUUAUCAGCUUGUUGGUGGGGUAGUGGCUUACCAAGGCUUUGACGGGUAGCCGGCCUGAGAGGGUGACCGGCCACAUUGGGACUGAGAUACGGCCCAGACUCCUACGGGAGGCAGCAGUGGGGAAUAUUGCACAAUGGGCGGAAGCCUGAUGCAGCAACGCCGCGUGCGGGAUGACGGCCUUCGGGUUGUAAACCGCUUUCGCCUGUGACGAAGCGUGAGUGACGGUAAUGGGUAAAGAAGCGCCGGCUAACUACGUA
rnacentral:rRNA from 1 species